rnacentral:rRNA from 1 species
CAUAUCAAUAAGCGGAGGAAAAGAAACUAACAAGGAUUCCCCUAGUAACUGCGAGUGAAGCGCGAAAAGCUCAAAUUUAAAAUCUGGCGACCUUUGRCCGUCCGAGUUGUAAUCUAGAGAAGUGUUAUCCGCGCUGGACCGUGUACAAGUCUCCUGGAAUGGAGCGUCAUAGAGGGUGAGAAUCCCGUCUUUGACACGGACUGCCAGGGCUUUGUGAUGCGCUCUCAAAGAGUCGAGUUGUUUGGGAAUGCAGCUCAAAAUGGGUGGUAAAUUCCAUCUAAAGCUAAAUAUUGGCGAGAGACCGAUAGCGAACAAGUACCGUGAGGGAAAGAUGAAAAGAACUUUGGAAAGAGAGUUAAACAGUACGUGAAAUUGCUGAAAGGGAAACGCUUGAAGUCAGUCGCGUUGUCUGGGAAUCAACCUUGCUUUUGCUGGGCGUACUUUCCAGAUGACGGGCCAGCAUCAAUUUUGACCGUUGGAUAAAGAUUGGAGGAAUGUGGCAUCUUCGGAUGUGUUAUAACCUUCAGUUGCAUACAACGGUUGGGAUUGAGGAACUCAGCACGCCGCAAGGCCGGGUACUCGUACCACGUUCGUGCUUAGGAUGCUGGCAUAAUGGCUUUAAUCGACCCGUCUUGAAACACGGACCAAGGAGUCUAACAUGCCUGCGAGUAUUUGGGUGGAAAACCCGAGUGCGUAAUGAAAGUGAAAGUUGAGAUCCCUGUCGCGGGGAGCAUCGACGCCCGGACCAGACCUUUUGUGACGGAUCUGCGGUAAAGCAUGUAUGUUGGGACCCGAAAGAUGGUGAACUAUGCCUGAAUAG